UUGCAAUCAAGAGAAAAAGCAAUCAAUCAUUUUAGAGCUAUAAUGAUGCCUUUAAACUAAAGAGGCAGUCAUUUUGAAUCUGCUUCUCUGUUCUACACAGACCAGUGCAAGUAAUUGGUCCUGUGCAACAUAACAGGUCCAUUCUUAGUUAGGAUGUUAAGCGUGCAGGAUGUACAUUGAAUUGGAAUCCUUCAACACAAUUCAAAACAAUUCCAGAAACUAAAACCAUUAAUUUGCACAAAUCUGUAUUAUCUCAUUUCUCUUUUCUUUUUUUCCUUCAAUUUGGUUUUUUGCAGUACUGAAAUGUUUGAAGAUGUUGGAAAAAAUGUUUAUUCUCUUAGUGCUUUGUAUCCCAGUGAGGUCAGCAUGCCUGCUCUUGUAGUUGCUUUUGUUUGCUCACAAUCAAGGGUUGUGCCAACACAAACUGAAGCUGUGUUUGCACGGAGCUCCUCCUGGCCUGAAGCUGUGCAGCAUGGGACAGGCAGAGCUGAAGGAGCAGCAAAGCAUCAACGUGCUUCUAACUGGGGUCAGCUGUGGGUAUGGGCUGGAAUGACACCAGCAGUCACAACAGUGAUGAAAUGUGCGAUCAGUGCCCAAGUGCACUGUUUCCCUCUAAGCAAGUUUGAGACAUUUGAAACGCGCUCAGCCAAGGCUCCCAGAACAUUAAAGAGAGAUAAUGAGAA